rnacentral:rRNA from 1 species
UUUGAUGGCGACCGGCGCACGGGGGAGUAACACGUAUCCAACCUGCCGAUGACUCGGGGAUAGCCUUUCGAAAGAAAGAUUAAUACCCGAUGGCAUAGUUCUUCCGCAUGGUAGAACUAUUAAAGAAUUUCGGUCAUCGAUGGGGAUGCGUUCCAUUAGGUUGUUGGCGGGGUAACGGCCCACCAAGCCUUCGAUGGAUAGGGGUUCUGAGAGGAAGGUCCCCCACAUUGGAACUGAGACACGGUCCAA